rnacentral:lncRNA from 1 species
UAAGUGCUGAACCAGUAAAGUGCUGUUUGGUUGCACCUCUGAAUGACUGUCUUCAAAAAUGUCCAUUUAAACUACCCAAUUUACUCUUAUCAGCAAUUAAACCUUCAACACAAACUAUAUACAAAUUUCCAACACAGAAACUAACCAAUGACCACGAACCCUAACUUUGGAAGUACGAAACAUCGGGUUGGAAUAUAAAUAGCAGUGAAGUAUUAGAGAAACGAAAUCAGAGAAUUCAAAGUGUAUAAUAAAUCAGAGAAACGAACCCUAAAUAGGUCGCCAGUGGAAGAAGGUCGGCUGUGCACCUCCGAUUGAGGGGGAGGGCGCUGCAGAGAGGAGGAGAGUGGAGGAGGUAGAAGGUGGAAGAAGCUCGGCUGUGGACCUCCGAUUGAGGGGGAGGCGCUGCAGAGUGGAGGUGGUAGGCGGUGGUAGAAGAUGAGGAAGAAUGUGAGGGAUAUUGAAGUCUAACGUUCAUUCAGAGAUGGGUCAGACUCCACACAAU